AGUUUAAUAUUUGUCGAAUUGAGUCCUUUGUAGAGUUUACUUUCACAUCGCGCUAUAGUGACUAAUAAAUGUGAGCAUGCGCAGGUGGUACAAUAAUCGCAAAAUCCAUUAGUUUAACGAAGUAACGUUUGUUUGUACGAGCGGACAAAGACGAAGGUGCUUACUACUCAAAGCAAAAACAUCGAACGUGACCCACGUGCGCACGUGACCCGAUCAACGGACUGCUCUGCAGAUGCAAGAACUCUGAGGAACAAAGAUGUCUCGCUGGAGUUGAAGGAUUGACAACAGGCAUACAUGUGUGGGUUGCUGUAGAUCUCCUGUCUUGGACCGAGAGCUGCGUCCAUUUCCCACAUGGUUUGUUGAUUUACGCUGAAAGCACCGGCCUGCAGCCCUCCUCAUGCCUGACUUCAUCCAAUUCUAGAGGACACUGGACCAUCAGGUCCAGCCUGUGCCACACUGAUCUCUCUUUCCAUUUUGCCUGGCCACCCUCGCUGUUUCUCUGCUCGGCUGAGCGGCAGACACACACACAGAGGACUGCGGCAGCCUCCCCCACCACCAGCAACUGGAUUGAAGCUGCUGUAAUUGUGGGGGCAGUUUUGUGGGCUUUAAUGGCCACGCUGGAAGUUUUUGAUGCAGCCCUGCAUGUGGGGUCGUGUCAGGUCUUCAUCCACAAGGUACCACUAUGGAGCACUGCCAUAAUCACAAGAGCUCUGCAAACACCCCUGCUGAAAGCUUUGACCACAGAAGAAGCUGCAGUCUCUCUUCACCCUCUUCUUGCAGCAAUCAACAGAACUCCUUUCAUAUUGAAUGGCAAGCUCCAUUCCGAUGUAUGAAAGUUGGUGUCAUAACAUCCCAGCCGGACAUAAACUACAAUCUUUAAUUCCUCCUCUAUGAUCGACUUUCUAAUCAUUGGCACUUCUGUGAAUUAAAAAGAACUCUACUAAUACUUCACUACCAAAUCCAGGUCCCUGAUCGGUCAAAGUUCAACUGGUUUAACUUUAAGCAAGCAUUCAAUGACUGCACGUUUUUAGAGCGCAAAAAUGAAUUAAAAAACUUGUUUAGCAAUGCAUGAACGGAGAGUUUUGAACAUGGAAGCCCAAAACGCGCGUUUACGUUUACGUUUCAUUGGAAGUGAUCGCUUGAACGUGCGUUGCUGAGGCCGGUGUGAAUGUAGCAUCGGCCCCUCCAAAAGUCUCCUUCACUUGUCAAUCUUUCUUUGAUUGGUAAAAUGAGCUUUAGACACAUAAAGUAAUUCAUUUAAGCUCAUUGCCAACACAAGCACUAGAACCUUUGUCUGACUGGGAACCAUGAUGUCCACAUUUGAGCCUCUAAUCUUCAUCCUGCCUGUAUUGUUCUCUGUUUCUAAACUCCCCACUGCUGCUGGUGGUUCCCGCUCAUUGAAGCAAACAGGACCUCACUGUGCAAAAAUCCCAAACCAAAUCUUUUGUUGACUAAACUUAAGACUCGCUGCCUCCUGGCUGCACCUAAAAAUUCAGUUCAUAAAAGCAAUGAACAGAAACUGGGAUGAAGGCCAGCCCAGGUGGAGCCCACAAAGGAUCAAAAUGGGGAUCAAACCCUGAUUUUACUGGCUUGAAGACCAAAAGGCCUCCAACAUUUGUUCUGAUUUUCUUAACACACCCAAAGAAUUACAGUUCAAAAUCUUAAGAGCAACCUUUAAGUAAACAUUAAAAUCACACUGAUCUAAAAAAAAAAAAAACAAUAAUAACAAAAUAAAAGAAGAUCUUGAUUUAAACUCUGUAAAAUUGUAAUUUUUUUCCACAUCUGCCAAGGCAGAUACACUUUAAAUUCUUAAAACUGUAGCUAUUUUCUCAUCAAUACAGCUUGUGUGUAAAACAUUUAUUGCAGUUUACUGGGCUACUUAGGUUUUUUAUGUUGUUAUGUAGUUGUUUGUUGAUAUAUCUUUCUGCAAAGCUUUUAUUUUAAGGCACUUUCUCCAAAUCAAGGUGGAAAAGCUCUUGGAACCUUACUGCAGACUAAAGACAAUGCAAGGUUUUAUAGCUGUAACACAAGCCCAAAUUCUCAUACCACUACCUCGAUGCUUGAUGGUUGCUGUAAAUUUGACCAGACAAUUCCACUUCAGUCUUUUUUUUUAAUUCCUUUUAGCCGUGGUUUGUUCAAAUACAUUUUUAAAAAAUCAGUCACAUUAAUUUUGUCUUUAAACACUAUUUACUGUUAAUCUGCUUUUUUGGGCAUUGUUUUUAUUUUGCA
ensembl:lncRNA